AUUGAACGCUGGCGGCAGGCCUAACACAUGCAAGUCGAACGAGUGGCGGACGGGUGAGUAAUGUAUGGGAAAAUGCCUGAUGGAGGGGGAUAACUACUGGAAACUGUAGCUAAUACCGAAUACCAUUCGUUCGGCCCAGCUGGGAUUAGCUUGUGGGUGGGGUAAAGGCUCACCAAGGCGACGAUACCUAGCUGGUCUGAGGGGAUGAGCAGCCACACUGGAACGGAGACACGGUCCAGACUCCGACGGGAGACAGCAGUGGGGAAUAUUGCACAAUGGGCGCAAGCCUGAUGCAGCCAUGCCGCGUGUAUGAAGAAGGCCUUCGGGUUGUAAAGUACUUUCAGCGGGAAGGCGUUACCCGCAGAAGAAGCACCGGCUAACUCCGUGCCAGCAGCCGCGGUAAUAC
rnacentral:rRNA from 1 species